rnacentral:rRNA from 1 species
GGCAAGAAUCGUACAUAUCUAGCCUGCCCACUGAAAUUUUUAAAUGGCCGCAGUAUAUUAACUGUGCAAAGGUAGCAUAAUCAUUAGUCUUUUAAUUGAAGGCUGGAAUGAAUGGUUGGACGUAAUAUUAACUGUUUCAAUUUAAUUUAAGUUAGAAUUUUAUUUUUUAGUAAAAAAGCUAAAAUUUUAUUAAAAGACGAGAAGACCCUAUAAAUCUUUAUAAUUUAUUUAUUUUAAUUAUAAAGAAUAUUUUUGUUAUAAUAAAUUAAAUUAUUUUAUUGGGGUGAUAUUAAAAUUUAAUAAACUUUUAAUUUAUUAAAUCAUUAAUUUAUGAAUUAUUGAUCCAAUUUUAUUGAUUAAAAAUUUAAGUUACUUUAGGGAUAACAGCGUAAUUUUUUUGGAGAGUUCAUAUCGAUAAAAAAGAUUGCGACCUCGAUGUUGGAUUAAGAGAUAAGUUUGGGAGCAGCCAUUCAAACAUUAAGUCUGUUCGACUUUUAAAUUCUUACGUGAUCUGAGUUCAGACCGGA